CUUUUCUCAACAACAACACGUUUCUCAUCUGUUCUUCACUUUUACUCAUUUCUGUCGCAUACAUACACUUACAACACUUUAAAAUGAUUUCCCUCUUGUUAUCCUACUACUCACUUUGUUCUUAUUUGAUCAGUAUUUUUACUGAAAUGAUGAUAACCGCAGGCUAGCACAUGCUAUGAUGCCAUGCACAAAAUAAGUUGGACAUGAUGACGAAAUUGAACGGAUAUAUGAAAUGGGCGCGCAUAAAAAUGUGCUGCUAAUUUGUGAACAAAAUGCAUGUCUGAUCCAACUAUUGAAAAAAAAACAA
rnacentral:lncRNA from 1 species